CAUUUCACCUCCUUCAUCCGAGAUUACCCGCUGAACUUAAGCAUAUCAAUAAGCGGAGGAAAAGAAACCAACAGGGAUUGCCUCAGUAACGGCGAGUGAAGCGGCAAAAGCUCAAAUUUGAAACCCUCGGGAUUGUAAUUUGAAGAUUUGGCAUUGGAGAAAGCUAACCCAAGUUGCUUGGAAUAGUACGUCAUAGAGGGUGACAACCCCGUCUGGCUAACCGUUCUCCAUGUAUUGCCUUAUCAAAGAGUCGAGUUGUUUGGAAAAUGCA
rnacentral:rRNA from 1 species